CCUACGGGUGGCAGCAGUGGGGAAUAUUGCACAAUGGGCGCAAGCCUGAUGCAGCCAUGCCGCGUGUGUGAAGAAGGCCUUCGGGUUGUAAAGCACUUUCAGCGGGGAGGAAGGCGGUGAGGUUAAUAACCUCAUCGAUUGACGUUACCCGCAGAAGAAGCACCGGCUAACUCCGUGCCAGCAGCCGCGGUAAUACGGAGGGUGCAAGCGUUAAUCGGAAUUACUGGGCGUAAAGCGCACGCAGGCGGUCUGUCAAGUCGGAUGUGAAAUCCCCGGGCUCAACCUGGGAACUGCAUUCGAAACUGGGAGGCUAGAGUCUUGUAGAGGGGGGUAGAAUUCCAGGUGUAGCGGUGAAAUGCGUAGAGAUCUGGAGGAAUACCGGUGGCGAAGGCGGCCCCCUGGACAAAGACUGACGCUCAGGUGCGAAAGCGUGGGGAGCAAACAGGAUUCGAUACCCGGGUAGUC
rnacentral:rRNA from 1 species